UCCUAAAUCACUUGGGGUUUUAGCCAAGGUGUGAAAGGUUUUUACUCCUAAAUCACCUGGGAUUUUUGACCAAGGUCUGAAAGAUGUUUGUUCCUAAAUCACUUGGGAUUGGAAGGUUUUUGUUCCUAAAUCAUUUGGGAUUGGAAGGUGUUUGUUCCUAAAUCAUUUGGGAUUGGAAGGUGUUUGUUCCCAAAUCACUUGGGAUUGAAAGGUGUUUGUUCCUAAAUCACUUGGGAUUGAAAGGUGUUUGUUCCCAAAUCAUUUGGGAUU